GACGAACGCUGGCGGCGUGCUUAACACAUGCAAGUCGAACGGAAAGGCCCUGCUUUUGUGGGGUGCUCGAGUGGCGAACGGGUGAGUAACACGUGAGUAACCUGCCCUUGACUUUGGGAUAACUUCAGGAAACUGGGGCUAAUACCGGAUAGGAGCUCCUGCUGCAUGGUGGGGGUUGGAAAGUUUCGGCGGUUGGGGAUGGACUCGCGGCUUAUCAGCUUGUUGGUGGGGUAGUGGCUUACCAAGGCUUUGACGGGUAGCCGGCCUGAGAGGGUGACCGGCCACAUUGGGACUGAGAUACGGCCCAGACUCCUACGGGAGGCAGCAGUGGGGAAUAUUGCACAAUGGGCGGAAGCCUGAUGCAGCAACGCCGCGUGCGGGAUGAAGGCCUUCGGGUUGUAAACCGCUUUCGCCUGUGACGAAGCGUGAGUGACGGUAAUGGGUAAAGAAACACCGGCUAACUACGU
rnacentral:rRNA from 1 species